UACAGAGGAGCCAAGCGUUGUCCGGAUUGACUGGGCGUAAAGCGCACGCAGGCGGAUGCGCGCGUGGGGUGUGAAAUCUGGCCGCUUAACGGCCAGGCGCCAUCCCAUACGGCGCGUCUGGAGUGCUGCAGAGGUCGAUGGAAUUGCCGGUGUAGUGGUGAAAUGCGUAGAGAUCGGCAGGAACACCCAGGGGGAAACCAGUCGACUGGGCAGCUACGUGACGCUGAGGUGCGAGAGCGUGGGGAGCGAACCGG
rnacentral:rRNA from 1 species